rnacentral:rRNA from 1 species
UGAGCAAUCUGCCCUUCACAUCGGAAUAACCAUUGGAAACGAUGGCUAAUACCGAAUAUGACUUCGGAUCGCAUGAUCUGAAGUGGAAAGCUCCGGCGGUGAAGGAUGAGCUUGCGGCCUAUCAGCUUGUUGGUGAGGUAAUAGCUCACCAAGGCGAUGACGGGUAGCCGGCCUGAGAGGGUGACCGGCCACACGUGGGACUGAGACACGGCAGA